AAUUUUUUUGCCACUGUUGUUUGGACUACUCCGUCAGCUCCUGUGACUGCCAGAAUAAGUGCCGUAACAUUUUUGAAGCUAACCUGACUACCCUGGCUGUGUUGUUUUGUUCCAUAGUUGCUUUUUGUGUGUUCCAUCAUUUCUGUAAAUUUCAGUUGCAUCAAGGGAUCCAGCGUAUUAUGGACUCGAUGAAGUUGAACUCUCCAGACGACGGAACUGGACUGGCUCUGCUCGUAAUCAGAUUGGUACUCUGUAAAAAGGGCUGUUGAAAAGGGGAAGAGCAAUCCUGCAAUGGCAAGACAUCAGGACAAUGGUACAAGCAGAACUAACUACGGUUCUUCCCAAGACAAUGAUGACUAUAUUGCUUCAGAAUCAGAUAGACAGCUUCUACUCAUGAGGUGAGUUUGCUCACUCUUACUUUUACUGCUCAUAUACUGUUCAAAUAUGUUGGUUAGAAACAUGUGCUCUAAAAAAAGAAACUUAUUAUCUGUUCAAUAUGAGUAGGAUUACUCAAGAUUCCCCUUGUAUGUAAGUAGGCGGUGUUUAAUUUAAAGUUAUGGUGUUCUAUGCAUUGCUAAAAAACUCUGUUACCGCCAAAAAAAACUGUUACCUCUGCCUUUUUUAUUCCAUGGUUUUAGUCCAGCAUGAGCAUCCUAACCAUUUUUACUAAGGUUUUUUCUUUUGACACACCCUAAUUAGUAGAAAUAUCAUGUUUACAUUCUAUUUAGUGUCUUUGUUGCUCCUCCUGGAUAAUAUUUGACAUAGCAAUAUACCACUACUCGUAUAGCAUAUAGUGUACGUACCGUACGUUUACCUGCUUACUGUAAGUUGUGUUCCACAUUAAGCAUUCAACCUGGCGGCUGUGUUCCACGUUUGAAAGAAAAAUCUCUUGCACUUGUGCCUGUUCUAUCAAGCUUGAUGUUAUCUAUUUAGCAUUGCUUAGAGACGAUAGAAGUAUUGACAGUUGGGAAACAUAGAUCGUCUAGUCAACCCACAAAAUAGAUAAGGCUGUACUGUAGUAAGCACCUAUCUGCACGCUCAAUCGGCAUCUUAGGAUGGCUUGAGAAUCAAAUGAACCAAAAUUAUUACUCUCUGACGAGAACAUAC